GACGAACGCUGGCGGCGUGCUUAACACAUGCAAGUCGAGCGGUAAGGCCCUUUCGGGGGUACACGAGCGGCGAACGGGUGAGUAACACGUGGGUGACCUGCCCUUAGCUCUGGGAUAAGCCUGGGAAACUGGGUCUAAUACCGGAUAUGACUCCAUGACGCAUGUUGUGGGGUGGAAAGCCUUGUGCGGCUAGGGAUGGGCCCGCGGCCUAUCAGCUUGUUGGUGGGGUGAUGGCCUACCAAGGCGACGACGGGUAGCCGGCCUGAGAGGGCGACCGGCCACACUGGGACUGAGACACGGCCCAGACUCCUAUGGGAGGCAGCAGUGGGGAAUCUUGCGCAAUGGGCGAAAGCCUGACGCAGCGACGCCGCGUGA
rnacentral:rRNA from 1 species